CCCGAGAAAAUUCACCACUGCCGUCCCUCAUGCUACUAGCCGACGACGUCAGCCGCUUCAUCGAGGUCGACGAGUCCCUCGACCCAAGACCCAACCCUUUCGUUCGCCUGCGUUGGUGGCUCCGUCAGUCUCGAUGGGGUCGGUUACCAGAUCUCAAUCUUCCGGCUCAUCUCCGCGACGGCACCCUCGGGCCUCGGCUUCGGCGGCGGGUCGAACCAGAUCGCGCGUCGCGGAGGUGGCCGGCUGCGUGGAAGCUAGGCCUCCACCUUGAGCAAGGGACGGGAGUGGCACACAUACACACGUAUGCAUCCCAGCAACCUCGGCCGCCGGUGUGCCGCCAACGACGAGCCUCCGGCAGGAACGGGACAUGAGGGGAAUAAGAGGAAGGGUGAGAUUGUUUUCCGUUGCUUCUUCAUCUGGCGGGGAGAGAAAGAAAGAUAGAGAGAGAGGACGUGUACUUGCGAAAGUGCCCAUCUAAUCCUAUUUUUUGUCAGAGAUAGAUGGGAGAAACAUAAGCAAUACAAGAUCUUUGAGCCACAAUUCAAUUAGCACAGGAUUCCCCAAAACAUUUGCUCCACUCCUAAUUCCACUGACCUUUCGUCGACGAUGUGAACAUCGCUGGAGCUUCUUGUCCUAGAUUUUACACGACCAUAUGUGUUCUACUCACGGUGGAAAAGCCCACCAUGAGUGAGAUAGAACAAAGGAUGGCGGUGGAAGUGAGGCUACAACAUCUGAUCCUAAGUGGCAUGAUGUCAGUAAGUGGUGUUAUGGUAGAGACAGUUAUGGUGUUCUUAUGGCAUUAAUGGGUGGACAUCACAUUGACAACGAUGGUGCAAAAGACCUGACUUAUGUUGAUAGAAUCCAUGUGUUUUUAGCAUCAAACAUCAUAGAAUUAUUCAGUUUCCAACAAGUUUUCUUAUAAUGGUUCAAAUGAUGAUGGAUCAACUAUUUGGGCUGACCUCAUGCUGUUCUACGGAAGUUUGGUUUAGCAUUUUGUUUUUCUCUACAGAAGACCCUGUAAUAUGAUUUGCAGGUUGUCGUUUUGCAGUUAUUGAACUUUGAGUUUGUAAUGUCUGUUCAUGCCUAAUAGUCAACAUAUACUGUAAAAGUUUAGGAUCUAUAACAUCCGGAUACAUCCGCCCAUACUGGAUGUGUAUUUCUUCGAGGAUCGUGUCCUCAUAUAGAGUACAAUAGUUCUCUUAUUUGGUGUUUAAUCCAUGUAAGCAUGAAGUUUUGCUCAUACGCUUUCAGCCUGCCACUGUUCAAAUCUGCAAGUGGCUGACGCCAUAUGUAGUUGCCAGCACUGCACGAGUUUAGAAAUGAAGUAUUCUGAUUUGACCAUCUGAGUCUAC